GGAGCAACUCCAACCCUGCCGCCCAGCGACCUCGCCGCCGACGACUGACCCAUAGCACUAGAGGCCAUGGACGUUGCCGCCCUUUGUGAAGUCGCCGUCGUCACCACGAACCCUCCCCAUCGCCUGCAUCUCUUCUCGCGACUCUGAUGCGCCUGUGUUUCACCAGAGACUGGCCCCGUCGCCGCCCAAGUCCACCGGGACUUCAGCCGUGCCUGUGCCCUCCUCCACGAGCUGCCCAGCCGGGCCUCUCCUGCAUCUGAGCCCCUUCCUCGCGUGUCCGUCUCCUCUCGCUGAUCCGCCUCGUCCC